rnacentral:rRNA from 2 species
UGAUAGUAUUUUAUACUAUUGGUAUAUAUAAUUGAGGGUG